rnacentral:rRNA from 1 species
GAUGAACGCUAGCGGCGGGCUUAAUACAUACAAGUCAAGGGGUAGCAAUACACCGGCGUACGGGUGCGUAACGCGUAUGGAACCUGCCCUUAUCUGGGGGAUAACUCGGGGAAACUCAAGCUAAUACCGCAUAAGAUAGUAGAAUGGCAUCAUUCAGCUAUUAAAGAUUUAUCGGAUAAGGAUGGCCAUGCGUAAGAUUAGAUAGUUGGUGGGGUAACGGCUCACCAAGUCUACGAUCUUUAGGGGCUCUGAGAGGAGAAUCCCCCACACUGGCACUGAGAUACGGGCCAGACUCCUACGGGAGGCAGCAGUAGGGAAUAUUGGGCAAUGGGCGGAAGCCUGACCCAGCCACGCCGCGUGCAGGAAGAAGGCCCUCUGGGUUGUAAACUGCUUUUGAUUGGGAAGAAAGCAUCUCAUGCGUGGGAUUUUGACGGUACCAAUCGAAUAAGCCACGGCUAACUACGUGCCAGCAGCCGCCGUAAUAC